GAGUGUUAGGCAAAUCCAGCACUCUUAAGAUUGAGCUGUGAUGGGGAGAGGAACUUGUUCCUCGAGUCGUUGAUUUCACACUGCCGAGAAAAGCCUCUAGCUAGAAUAACGGUGCCCGUACCGCAAACCGACACAGGUAGUCAAGAUGAGAAUUCUAAGGUGAGCGAGCGAACUCUCGUUAAGGAACUCGGCAAAAUGACCCCGUAACUUCGGGAGAAGGGGUGCUCUUUGAGGUUCACGCUUCGAAGAGCCGCAGUGAAUAGGCCCAAGCGACUGUUUAUCAAAAACACAGGUCUCUGCUAAACCGUAAGGUGACGUAUAGGGGCUGACGCCUGCCCGGUGCUGGAAGGUUAAGAGGAGUGGUUAGCGCAAGCGAAGCUACGAAUCGAAGCCCCAGUAAACGGCGGCCGUAACUAUAACGGUCCUAAGGUAGCGAAAUUCCUUGUCGGGUAAGUUCCGACCCGCACGAAAGGCGUAACGAUUUGGGCACUGUCUCAACGAGAGACUCGGUGAAAUCAUAGUACCGGUGAAGAUGCCGGUUACCCGCGACAGGACGGAAAGACCCCGUGGAGCUUUACUGUAGCCUGAUAUUGAAAUUCGGUACAGUUUGUACAGGAUAGGUAGGAGCCUUAGAAGCGUGAGCGCUAGCUUACGUGGAGGCAUUGGUGGGAUACUACCCUAAUUGUAUUGGAUUUCUAACCCGCAGCACUUAUCGUGCUGGGAGACAGUGUCAGGCGGGCAGUUUGACUGGGGCGGUCGCCUCCUAAAGAGUAACGGAGGCGCUCAAAGGUUCCCUCAGAAUGGUUGGAAAUCAUUCAUAGAGUGUAAAGGCAUAAGGGAGCUUGACUGCGAGACCUACAAGUCGAGCAGGGUCGAAAGACGGACUUAGUGAUCCGGUGGUUCCGCAUGGAAGGGCCAUCGCUCAACGGAUAAAAGCUACCCCGGGGAUAACAGGCUUAUCUCCCCCAAGAGUUCACAUCGACGGGGAGGUUUGGCACCUCGAUGUCGGCUCAUCGCAUCCUGGGGCUGUAGUCGGUCCCAAGGGUUGGGCUGUUCGCCCAUUAAAGCGGUACGCGAGCUGGGUUCAGAACGUCGUGAGACAGUUCGGUCCCUAUCCGUCGUGGGCGUAGGAAAUUUGAGAGGAGCUGUCCUUAGUACGAGAGGACCGGGAUGGACAUACCUCUGGUGUACCAGUUGUCGUGCCAACGGCAUAGCUGGGUAGCUAUGUAUGGACGGGAUAAGUGCUGAAAGCAUCUAAGCAUGAAGCCCCCCUCGAGAUGAGAUUUCCCAACUUCGGUUAUAAGAUCCCUCAAAGAUGAUGAGGUGAAUAGGUUCGAGGUGGAAGCGUAGCGAUACGUGGAGCUGACGAAUACUAAUCGAUCGAAGACUUAAUCAA
rnacentral:rRNA from 1 species